rnacentral:rRNA from 1 species
GACGAACGCUGGCGGCGUGCUUAACACAUGCAAGUCGAACGGACAGGCCCUGCUUUUGUGGGGUGCUCGAGUGGCGAACGGGUGAGUAACACGUGAGUAACCUGCCCCUGACUUUGGGAUAACUUCAGGAAACUGGGGCUAAUACAGGAUAGGAGCUCCUGCUGCACGGUGGUGGUUGGAAAGAUUCGGCGGUUGGGGCUGGACUCGCGGCUUAUCAGCUUGUUGGUGGGGUAGUGGCUUACAAAGGCUGUGACGGGUAGCCGGCCUGAGAGGGUGACCGGCCACAUUGGUACUGCGAGACGGCCCAGAAGCCUACGGGAGGCAGCAGUGGGGAAUAUGGCGCAAUGGGCGGAAGCCUGAUGCAGCAACGCCGCGUGCGGGAUGACGGGCUUCUAGUUGAAAACCGCUUUCUCCUGUGACGAAGCGUGAGUGACGGUAAUGGGUAAAGAAGCACCGGCUAACUACGUG